UCAAUGAAAUAGAUAUACUAUAAUUGAUUCAAAGUUAAAAUAGCAUGAACUUUAAUCGGAGAAAUUAGCAAAGAAAUUAAUUUCAAAACGCUCUAUCAUUAUUAAAUCUACCUAUUUCCGAUAAGAUUUCCUGAAAUACUUUGUCCAAUCUUCUUCUAUUUUGUGAAUAGCAUUAUCAUUGAAUCCUUUUGUUUAAAUCUGCCAAAGACUUUUAUCUCAUUCAAAGAUAUUUGAAUUAUCUGAUUACGAGUUUGAUCUUUUCUCGUUAUAUUGAUAGCAAAUAUAAUAUAUAUGGUAUUCUGAUAUCAAAUACAUUUAGUGGGUGGAUACAGUGGUGUAUGGUGAAAAGUGGAAAACACUCCUGAAAGUUAAACGAAAUUAAUGGUGAAAUGGAGGGUGAACACUCUGAGCAAGAAAAUGAAAAUGUAUCCUACCAUGGCUCUACAACAAGUCUUCUUCAUUCAGUUACUCAUCCAUCUGGUCUCGUUUUUCGGUUAAUUGGUUUAGCCUUACUUUGUUUCGUUGGCUUUGGUUCUUACUUUUGCUAUGACAACCCUGCAGCUUUACAAGAUAAAAUUGAAAAUGCACUCAACAUUUCAACAUCCGAAUAUGUCUGGUUGUAUUCAGUUUAUUCAUGGCCAAAUGUCUUCUUAGGUUUCAUUGGAGGGUUUUUAAUUGAUAGAGUUUUUGGCAUUCGUAUGGGAACUAACAUAUAUAUGGGUUUAACACUAUUAGGCCAACUAUGUUUCUCAACAGGUGUCUGGUUGAAAGCUUAUUGGAUGAUGCUUCUUGGACGUUUUAUUUUUGGAAUUGGUGCUGAAUCUCUUGCUGUAGCUCAAAAUAAUUAUGCUGUUUUGUGGUUCAAAGGAAAAGCACUGAAUAUGGUAUUCGGACUACAAUUGAGUUUUGCAAGAGUUGGAAGCACAGUUAAUUUUAUGGUUAUGGAAGGUAUUUACAACAAAGUUGAGGAAAAAUUUAAAGGCAUAGACGGACUUGCUAUUACCUUCUAUUUGGCUACGAUCACCUGUGUGUUUUCUUUUGUAUGCUCAUUAAUUUUGGGUAUUAUGGAUAAAAAAGCGGAACGUACUUUAAGAGUGAAUGACGCUGUAAUAGCUGACCCAGUGAGAAUGUCUGAUGUGAGAUAUUUCAGUGGGAAGUUUUGGUUACUGAAUGUAGUCAUCAUAUUUUUCUAUGUUGCAAUAUUCCCGUUCUUCACUAUUGGAAAAUCGUUUUUCAUGAAGAAAUACCACAUGAAUGAAUCAGAUGCUAACUUCAUUUGUAGUAUAGUAUAUUUAAUUUCUGGUAUUGUGUCACCACUUUUAGGAUUCAUGAUCGAUCUAACGGGAAGAAAUCUUUUAUGGAUUACUGUAGGAAUCUCAUAUACAAUUGCUGCUCACUGCUGUCUUUCCUUUUUCACUUGGAUAAAUCCUUACAUUAGUAUGGCUUGUAUGGGUGCAUCAUAUUCCAUUCUAGCCAGCAGUUUGUGGCCUUUGAUAUCUCUUGUUAUUCCUGAAAAUCAGUUGGGAACUGCAUAUGGAGUUUGUUCUGCACUACAAAACUCAGGACUUGCAAUAUUCACAACUGUUGUUGGUAUCAUUGUUGAUGCUGACCCUUCAUACCUGUGGUCGGAACUGUUCUUUAUUGGUUGUUUAUCAGUUGCAUUACUAGCUGCGCUGGUGUUGCUUGUAUGGGACUUCUGGCAGAAUGAUGUAUUGAAUAUGACUCCGAAAGCUAGAUUGAGACAUCAACAAAGGAUGGUUAAUGGCUCAAGUGGGGAAUUGGUAUGGAGGAGUCCUUCAGCUUUUUCUAAUUUGAUUUUUUUGAAAAGUGUGGUUGUAGAUUCCUCGAUUAGUGAUAAGGGGCCGCCCAGGUUUUAGAAAGGGAAAAAUUAAAUGUACAGAGUUCCCAGGAUACUAGUAGUGAACUUGGUGAAAAUUCCAAUUUUUAUAUAAGAAAUAGGUACCUGUCAAGAAUAGGAGCUCAGUUACCACCAUCCUAUAAUCCAAUUCCAAGGACACUUACAUAUCUGAGAUAACCUGGAAUACUCUGUCGUGAUAUUGAUCUGUACAAAAUCGUGAUAUCUAGAUUUAAGGCAAUUUUAUACUUUAGACUAUUUUUUUAAGAAUAUGAUGUCAAUUGCUCUUUUUGAAUUAUGCUCAAUUUAUUCAAUAGAUCUCUUGAAUAUA